AUGGCGGCGUCGGCGCCGACGGGCUGCUUCAAGUGCGGCCGCCCCGGCCACUGGUCCCGGGACUGCCCCUCCGCCCCGCCGUCCUCCUCCACCAACCCCAACCCCAACCCCAACCCCGCCGCCGGCGCCGGCGCCGCCCGCUUCGCCCCCUACAAGCCGAGACAGUUCUCCAAACCCGCGGCGGCUGCGGCUGCGGCUCCGGCUGAGGGCGAGGAGGCACCGCAGGAUGGUGCUAAGAAGAAGAAGAAGGAGAGGACGACGCGGCCCAAGCUCACACCGGACCUCCUCCUCUCCGACGACGGCCUGGGCUUCGUCCUCCGCUACUUCCCCAAGGCGUUCAAGCCCCGCGCCCGGCCCGGAUCCGAGGUGGAAGACCUUGGCAAUCUGAUCAAGCUUUACGCGGACUGGCACUCUCGCUUGAUCCCUUACUACUCCUUCGAUCAGUUUGUGCGCAAAGCUGAGAAAGUUGGGGCCAGUAGCCGCGUUAGGAGAUGCAUUUCGGAAUUGAAGGAAAGGGUUGCCAGAGGGGGGGAUCCUACACUACUGCAUCAACCGCCAGUGGAAGAAGUCAUACCAGAGGGAGAACCUGAUGGAACCACACAAGAAGACCCAAUCCUGGGGACAGAAUCUCCGUCGACGGACAAUCAUGAGGAUGUGGACCCAUUUGCGAUGGAAAGUGAUGACGUGGAUCCCAUGCAAGAGGAUUUGCGAAAUGAAAUAUACGAAAAGACAGCCGAUGAACCUGUAAUAAGAUCUGGCAUUGAAAGCGCUGAACAACCCAUGGCUCCAAAAGAGGCAGAGAAGCAUCAAGAUGGAGAGGAGAGUGGCGGGAGCAAGCCAAGCAAAGUUGAGCUGACGGAGGAGCAGAAGGCGCGCAUGGAGGCUAACAGGCUCAAGGCGCUGGAGAGAGCGGCAGCAGCUCGGGCUCGCGCAUCCCAGUCGCAGCCUACUACUGAAACCACUACCUAA
rnacentral:rRNA from 1 species